rnacentral:rRNA from 1 species
AUUGAACGCUGGCGGCAGGCCUAACACAUGCAAGUCGAACGGUAACAGAAAGCAGCUUGCUGCUUUGCUGACGAGUGGCGGACGGGUGAGUAAUGUCUGGGAAACUGCCUGAUGGAGGGGGAUAACUACUGGAAACGGUAGCUAAUACCGCAUAACGUCGCAAGCCCAAAGAGGGGGACCUUCGGGCCUCUUGCCAUCGGAUGUGCCCAGAUGGGAUUAGCUAGUAGGUGGGGUAAAGGCUCACCUAGGCGACGAUCCCUAGCUGGUCUGAGAGGAUGACCAGCCACACUGGAACUGAGACACGGUCCAGACUCCUACGGGAGGCAGCAGUGGGGAAUAUUGCACAAUGGGCGCAAGCCUGAUGCAGCCAUGCCGCGUGUAUGAAGAAGGCCUUCGGGUUGUAAAGUACUUUCAGCGGGGAGGAAGGGAGUAAAGUUAAUACCUUUGCUCAUUGACGUUACCCGCAGAAGAAGCACCGGCUAACUCCGUG